UUUUACUGUUCCUCAGCCUCAGCAGAAUCCAUUUAACAGGGGUUUGGGGAAAGGGGGGCAGAAGUCUGGUUGAGCACAAAUCUUUAGAACUUUAGUAGGGGAAGAAGAUCUGGUCCUAUUGUACCUUGUCAAGAGUUUGGAGCUUCUGGGUUCAGAAAAUAUGCUUAAAGCACAUCUGAAUACCAAGAGGUACACUGGAGGAAAUAUUUGGAGAUUCCUUAUUUUGUUCUAUAACCUGCUCUCGAAUUAUGGGUGUGCAGCUCAGGAAACACAGUAAACUUGUUUAGGCUACCGAGUAUUCAGCCCAGGGCAAAAAUUUCAGUCAAAGAUUUCAGUUCCCUACUUAUGUUUUUAAAAAUCAAUAUGCUUUAAUGUGUCAAAUAAAAUGACAGCAUGUUUAUGAGAAAAAUUGGUAAUCUCAUGCCCAACCUUUACCCAUUCCUGACUUGCUUACCAGAGGCGACCCACUUUCAAUUCUGCUUCUUUUUUUUUUUCUCCCUCAUAAUUUUAAAUGUACUCCAGUUUAAAAAAAAAAAAAAUUAAAUGUAAGAGUUCUGCUGUGGCGCUCUUGGGUUAAGAAACUAACUGCAGCAGACUGGAUUGCUGCUGUGGCGUGAACUCAAUCCCUGAUCUGCUGAAUUGGGUUAAAGGAUCUGGCAUUGACAUAGCUGUAGUGUAAGUUGCAGCUGUGGCUCAGAUUCAGUUCCUGGCCCAGGAACUUCCACAUGCUGCAUGUGUGCCAUGAAAGAAAAAAGAAAGAGAAAGAGAGAGAGAGAGAGAGAGGGAGAGAGAGAGAGAGAGAGGGAGAGAAAGAGAGAGAGAGAGAAAAGAAAGAAAGAAAGAAAGAAAGAAAGAAAGAAAGAAAGAAAGAAAGAAAGAAAGAAAGAGAGAAAGAGAGAAAGAGAGAGAGAGAAAGAAAGAGAGAGAGAAGGAGGGAGGAAGGAAGGAAGAAAGAAAGUCCCUUAAUUCCCUUUAUGGAAGAUGACACAAUCAUUGAACUCUCUUUAAAACCAACAAAUGGAAAAACAAAAAACAAUUAAAACAAAAACAACCAAACCCCUAUUUCAAUAUAGACAUUCCUCUUUCAAUUCAUCCUCCUAAUUCAGCUACCCCAUAAUUUGGGGUAAGACGAAAAUUCAUUGCUUCCAUUAUUCUGACUAUGUACUCUUCACUGAACCACAUAGCACACUAUGAUCACAUUUCCUUUUUUGUAAUUCUCCAAUUCCCUGAGAGUUUGUUAACAAUUGUCUUGUUGCUGAGAUUUCUAUGCACUUUUCAUUAAAUCAUUCCUAGUACUUUCACAGAACUCUAACUACUCAAGUUAUCAUUCAGUCAGGUUUUUUUCUUUGUUUAUUUGUUAAUUUGUUUGAUUUCGUCUUUUUAGCUUCCCUCCUGGGGUACUCUCUCUAAGCUCAAGUUUGAUCUGGUUGUUCUCCUUAUUAGAUUAGUUUUAAGACUAUACUUCCCUCUUAUUCUUAGCAUUUUUUGCUCCUUUGUUGGAUCUCUUGUUUCCCAGGUCUCGUGAUUUCUGCUUCUGGAUUUAUUCCUUUGUUUUGAGAGAGCAGCUUCUGGGAAAAGGUACCUUGGAAGUAAUUAUUUUGAAACUUGAUGUUAUGAAAUGUUUUACUCUUACACUUCAUUGGUUAUAUGGUUAGAUAUAGAAUUCUAGGAAGUUAAUUUCUCUUAGAAUUUUAUUUUAGUUAUUUAUUUAUUUUUGUCUUUUCUAGGGCUGUACCCUUGGCAUAUGGAGGUUCCCAGGCUAGGGGUCUAAUUGGAGCUGUAGCCAUCAGCCUAUGCCAGAACCAUAGCAACGGUGGAUCCGAGCCACAUCGGCAACCUGCAUCACAGCUCACGGCAACGCUGGGAUCCUUAACCCACUGAGGGAGGCCAGGGACCAAAUUGCAACCUCAUGGUUCCUAGUCAGAUUCGUUAACCACUGCACCACGACGGGAACUCCUCUCUUAGAAUUUUAAAUAUAUUGCUCCAUUAUCUUCUGGCUUCCAGAAUUCCUGUUCAAAAUUUUAUUUAGUUGGAUUUUUGACAGAGAGAAUACAUAUUUGUGUUCAGUCACCAGUACUUAAUCCUCUUUAUUACACCACAUUGAUUUCUUAUUCUCAAAUAUUUUCUAUCUGUUCAAGCAUGCCUGAUUUUUUUUUUCAAGAACAGAAGAUAAAGCAUUGAUUUGUACUUUCAGUGAUGUAUAAGAUGAAUAAUAAUUUUUAAAAAUAAAAACAAGUUUGGUAGAGCAGAAUUAUAGUAUAGUUGAAAAAGAAAGUAAAUAGAUCAAGAGAGGUCCAAAAAAGAAGAGUUUUGCUGUAACCUUUCUAAAUUGUGUAGAUAUUUAUUUCCUUAUGGCUCUUAAAUUUAAAAUGAGGCCCUAAAAAUUGUUUGGACAGUUCAAUAUUUUUGUUCCUAUGAUAUUGGAACUUUCUAAAGCUCAAAAUUCUUUAAAGACUAAUGAUAGACAUAUAUUAUACAAAGCAUUCCAUUGUAAAAACCUUAAUUUCACUUCACCUGUGAAACACCAUCUUUACUAAUAUAUUGCAGCAUUUAAACCAUAUUCUAUAAAUUUAUUAUUUUGCCUCGUAACUAUUCAUAUAUUCAUCGGAUUGAACUUUAAAGAGAUACAGCUUCUGGUAGCCCUAGUAAUUUCCAUCUCUAUCUCAAACACAUUUAGUUUAUGAAACCUAGGCUUCUUAUCUCUAAUAUUAGCACUGUUCUUUUCAUAACUUUCACUUAAUUUAGUUCAUUUUGAAAUGAGAUAAAUGAAGAAUUCUUUGUGAAAAGGAAUUGGAUUGUGAGGGAAAACAAUUCAGGGGAGUUUCUAGUUAGAUACUUCAGGCUAAAUACACCCCAAGUCAAACCCGACUGAUUAAAACAACCUAAUGGGAUUAAAACAACCAUUAAUGUACAAGGAUAAAAAGAGGAAGCAAACAAUUCCAACUAUGUUUUAGAAUCAAAACAUCAUAUGGACAAGUAGUAUUUGAAUCAGUAGACCUUUAAGAGUUGAAACUGAAGUAGAGGGAUUCAUUCCUCAAAACCUCAAGGCCUCAAGGAUUGGAGAAAGAUGCAGAUGGAGAAGAAAUCAAGGGUAAGGGUCAGUAUUAGGAGUAAUUAAUUACUCCAUCUUCCAAAUCCUGCACAGCUGAUGGAUACCCCUCCUUUACCCUAAAAGAAGAUGAGAGUUUACUCUCUCAACUGAUGAGACUCUAAAUUGGCAGACACCCCUAUGCUGAAAAUGGGGGUUAAAGAAAUGUCUACAUUCUGAAUGGUUACACACAAAUCCCUUUCCUUCAUUAACUCAGAGAUGUUAACUGCCAGAAAUAUUUCUCCAGCAAAGGAAAAUGUAAGAAGAUUCCUCUCUGGAGAGAACUUACCAGCCCCAUCCCCUCAACAAAGAUUUAUAGUCACCAAGAGUCAGGGGUACUUGAACUUAAUUUCCUAGAUAGCUACCCUCUAACAAUUGCUAUAAUUUGAUAAGUUCUAUCCAUGCAUAGUGAACUUUAACUCAGAUUUUCAUUGCCUUGUUCUUAAAUAUGAAUGGCAUCAAACUUCUUAACAACCCUGAAAGCUAGAAAACAGAGAAGUACUCUUGAAGUUCUUAAUCCCUAACUACUAACCGGGAAUCCUAUUUCUAGCUAAACUGUCAUUUAGUUUAAGGAUAGAAUAUAGAAAUCUUCAGGCAUCCGAUGUCUCCAUUUUUUCACCUCAUGUGUCAUUUCAGAGUAAACUAGUAAAGGAUAUUACUUAUUAAAAUGAGGACUGGUCUAAGAAGAGAGAAUGACAUGGGAUCAGAAAUCAGUAGAUCCAUUGCAAAAGAGGAGAAAAAGCUCAGGAUGCUGUUAAAAGGAAGACUCAGUGUGAUAACUGAGUGUCCAGCCUGGAGAGGAAACAAUUCAGAUGAAAGAAGGACAUGGGACUCUAGUAGAUUUGUUGCCAAGAAAAAAUUACAGACUAGUAAUAAGUCUGAAUGAUUUGCAUUUCUCCUGGAGAUUUUGGGCAUGAUAGGUACUAAGAAAACAAAUAAAUAUGUAGAGAAAAAGUUGUCAAGUUGCACAAACCUCAAACUCAAUGUACAAAACAUAAGAUUGGUAUGGACUAUAUGUAGUAGACCUAAUGGCAACUUGGUUUAAAUUGAACAUGGUGGAUUUCCUGUUGUGGCGCAAUGGAAAUAAAUCUGACUAGUAUCCAUGAGGAAGUGAGUUUGAUCCCUGGUCUCAUUCAGUGGGUUGGGGAUCCAGUGUUGCCAUGAGGUGUGGUGUAGGUCACAGAUGCAGCUUGGAGAUGCAGCUUCCAUAUGCCUCAGGUGUGGCCCUAAAAGCAAAUAAAUAAAUAAAUAGAACAUGGCAAAGCUGGAAAUUGUUCACAUGAUCUUAAAAGUGCAGCCAAGCUUUAGAGGAAACAAUACAUGGUCGUCCUUUGUUCAGACUUUGUGUUUUGUAUUCUCUCUGCCUAGGCUGCAUUUCCACAGGAAACUUGACUCACUUUUUAAUCAUGCAGAUCUUUGCUCAAACAUCACUUCUGUGAUCAAUCUACUAAAAAUAGCAGCUGCCAUCACCUCUUCUGCUUCAUUUUCUGCAUAGGACAUAUCAAUUUCUGAAAUUACACUAUUUUUUAAAUUGUUUACGUUCUGUCUAGUUCCCUGCUGUGUCCCAGGACUUUGAACACUGUGUGGAUGGUGCUCAGUAAAGACUGUGGUAUGAGGCAACCCAUGGAUGGUAAGCUCCAUGGACGCAGAGAAUGUCUUCUUCACCAUUGCAUCUUCAACCUCUCACCAAGUGUCUGUAGAUCUAGGCAUUCCAGGAACCUGUGUUGAAUGAAUGAGUGAGUAACUGAAUGAAAUCAAAAGUGACCUUUCUCUCAAAAUUUUUAAUUAAGAUAUUGUUUUGUAACUUUUGGAGGCUUCGCACAAUUAAGGGAACGUCACUGAUGCAGUAAAACUUGGGAUGCUGGUGAAAUAAAUUCUUUCCUUCUCCAUGGGGGAUCUCAGAAUCCAGCUGCAAGCUCUGAUGAUGUGUAGCAUGGUCGCUCGCACCUGACAGAGUGAGAAAAUCCAAAGCGGCAUGAUUACUAACAUGGUUAAAAGGUGAUAAGGACACCCCAGGGUCAGUGUCAGUUUAUGGUCCCUUGGAGUUCUGCCCGUGGCGGGUACUCUGCCUCUUCCCUCUCUUCUCGGUGUUAGUAAAUAUUCAUGAUUUAUACACUUUGGGCAAGAGGAAGGAAAUAAUUUUGUAUAUUAUCUAUAAAUAAUUUUGUAUAUUAUCUAUAAUUUAUCUAUAAAUAAUAUAAAUAGAAUUCUACCGAUUUUUCCUAAACCAAUGUGAAAAGAAAUGAAUACUGUAUGAAAUAGACCAUGCCCUGAAAGUGUCAUCAGCAAGUAGAGACACGCUCCGAGAAUAUAAUCAGUAUUAUAGUGACCAUGGGGCUGGAGGUAGGGAAGAGGGUGUUGGCAUUCUCUCUCCUCUGUCUAAAAAUAUCUCACAUUAAGUGAGUUUUAUACUACUAUUGGCUAAACAUUUUCAUUGGCCUUCAUGAUAAAAGUAUUUACAUAAUAUAUUCUUUAGAAAUCU
rnacentral:lncRNA from 1 species